UAUCAGAAGUGCGAAUGCUGACAUAAGUAACGAUAAAGCGGGUGAAAAGCCCGCUCGCCGGAAGACCAAGGGUUCCUGUCCAACGUUAAUCGGGGCAGGGUGAGUCGACCCCUAAGGCGAGGCCGAAAGGCGUAGUCGAUGGGAAACGGGUUAAUAUUCCCGUACUUGGUGUUACUGCGAAGGGGGGACGGAGAAGGCUAUGUUGGCCGGGCGACGGUUGUCCCGGUUUAAGCGUGUAGGUGUGUGUUCCAGGUAAAUCCGGUUCACUUUAACACUGAGGCGUGACGACGAGGCACUACGGUGCUGAAGCAACAAAUGCCCUGCUUCCAGGAAAAGCCUCUAAGCAUCAGGUAACAUCAAAUCGUACCCCAAACCGACACAGGUGGUCAGGUAGAGAAUACCAAGGCGCUUGAGAGAACUCGGGUGAAGGAACUAGGCAAAAUGGUGCCGUAACUUCGGGAGAAGGCACGCUGACACGUAGGUGAAGUGAUUUACUCAUGGAGCUGAAGUCAGUCGAAGAUACCAGCUGGCUGCAACUGUUUAUUAAAAACACAGCACUGUGCAAACACGAAAGUGGACGUAUACGGUGUGACGCCUGCCCGGUGCCGGAAGGUUAAUUGAUGGGGUCAGCGCAAGCGAAGCUCCUGAUCGAAGCCCCGGUAAACGGCGGCCGUAACUAUAACGGUCCUAAGGUAGCGAAAUUCCUUGUCGGGUAAGUUCCGACCUGCACGAAUGGCGUAAUGAUGGCCAGGCUGUCUCCACCCGAGACUCAGUGAAAUUGAACUCGCUGUGAAGAUGCAGUGUACCCGCGGCAAGACGGAAAGACCCCGUGAACCUUUACUAUAGCUUGACACUGAACAUUGAGCCUUGAUGUGUAGGAUAGGUGGGAGGCUUUGAAGUGUGGACGCCAGUCUGCAUGGAGCCGACCUUGAAAUACCACCCUUUAAUGUUUGAUGUUCUAACGUGGACCCGUUACCCGGGUUGCGGACAGUGUCUGGUGGGUAGUUUGACUGGGGCGGUCUCCUCCUAAAGAGUAACGGAGGAGCACGAAGGUUGGCUAAUCCUGGUCGGACAUCAGGAGGUUAGUGCAAUGGCAUAAGCCAGCUUGACUGCGAGCGUGACGGCGCGAGCAGGUGCGAAAGCAGGUCAUAGUGAUCCGGUGGUUCUGAAUGGAAGGGCCAUCGCUCAACGGAUAAAAGGUACUCCGGGGAUAACAGGCUGAUACCGCCCAAGAGUUCAUAUCGACGGCGGUGUUUGGCACCUCGAUGUCGGCUCAUCACAUCCUGGGGCUGAAGUAGGUCCCAAGGGUAUGGCUGUUCGCCAUUUAAAGUGGUACGCGAGCUGGGUUUAGAACGUCGUGAGACAGUUCGGUCCCUAUCUGCCGUGGGCGCUGGAGAACUGAGGGGGGCUGCUCCUAGUACGAGAGGACCGGAGUGGACGCAUCACUGGUGUUCGGGUUGUCAUGCCAAUGGCACUGCCCGGUAGCUAAAUGCGGAAGAGAUAAGUGCUGAAAGCAUCUAAGCACGAAACUUGCCCCGAG
rnacentral:rRNA from 2 species